UACGAAGGGGGCGAGCGUUGUUCGGAAUUACUGGGCGUAAAGGGCGCGCAGGCGGCCUUUCAAGUCAGAUGUGAAAGCCCCGGGCUCAACCUGGGAAUGGCAUUUGGGACUGGAAGGCUCGAGAUCGGGAGAGGUGGGUGGAAUUCCCAGUGUAGAGGUGAAAUUCGUAGAUAUUGGGAAGAACACCGGUGGCGAAGGCGGCUCACUGGACCGAUACUGACGCUGAGGCGCGAAAGCGUGGGGAGCAAACAGGAUUAGAUACCCUGGUAGUCCACGCUGUAAACGAUGUGUGCUAGACGUUGGGGGACCUAGUCCUUCGGUGUCGCAGCUAACGCGGUAAGCACACCGCCUGGGGAGUACGGCCGCAAGGUUAAA
rnacentral:rRNA from 1 species